rnacentral:lncRNA from 1 species
CACAAAUACACCCACCCCAAGUGUUAAAUUGUCAAUCUACACUGAGCGUCCACUGAGCUGUCAGGCUGAUCCAUGGGCAACAGCUGACCUAGAAACCCAGACUCAGAGAGCAAGCUGGAAGUGGAGAAUUAAAGUUGGGGCUGGGUUGAAAAGAGGGUGGAUCGAGAAGUUAGAGGUCAAAAGCAGUAGAAGGUCAAAGCUGUGUAAUUUCUCAAAAGCCGAAGACCACACGCAGUUUGUAGGUCAGGAAGGGGCAGGCCACAAAGCAGGUGGUUAGAGAUUCCUCAGGUUGGAGAAGAAAAGUUUCUGGGUAACAUCAUAUACCCUUCUGACCAUCACAGACUACUGCUUGAAUUACUGAGCAAUGCCCAACCCAUCCUUUCAAAGCAAGUUCUAACACUGGCCUGUCGAAUGCCGAAGCAGGACAGCCAUCCACGGUACCCAAACUUUUGCAUGUAAAG